GGAAUCAGAUUCUGCAUAUAUUUCCAAGUUAACAUGAACAAGAUUUUCUGAAAGACUGCUAUGGAGUCUGAGAAAAAAUGUCAAAGGUAGUGCCAAAAUUGUCACUUAAAGAACUGCAGGAAUGGAGUUGGCAUUUACAGAAUUUGGAAGAGAAGCAGGUUUAGUGAUAAAGACCAGAAGCACAGAGCUAAGCAUAUUAAAUUCAUUAACAUUUAUGUGUGUGUGUACACAUAUGCACAUGAACACUGGAUAUGCGAAUGCACAGAUUGAGGACAUGAAGAGGAAAGAACUGACAGAGGAGGUGAAGAAAGGUGAUCAGGAAGAGCCAUCAAAGUGUUAUCCUGGAAUUCAAGUGAAGACAGUGUUUCAAAGUGGAAAUGAACAGUGUCCUGUAACCCUCAGAGUGAGACUAGAGUCAGAAUGCAGGCUUUUCUCAUUUGAAAUCUCAAGGUAAGUCCAGGUCCUUACCUCCACCUAAAAGUUCUGCCAUCAAGGAACAUCUGCUCAUUAUCUUCUGUUCACACAUCAAAUGACUUCAAUGUGAUCCCUGGAUGUUCUCCAAAGAGCUGAAGGGAAAUAAAUAUUCUUUCUUUAUCACCAAAUACUUCAACUGCAGAGUGAUUGUGCUACCAAGGCCUGAAACUUCGGAAAAACCUGCAUAACACAAAAUAUAAAAUAUGCCACAGAGAGGAUCCAGAGAGCCCAUCUCCGGUCAGUUAUCUGUAUUUGUAUGUCAACUACAGCAUCAAAAAGCAUAGGCAUGGAUACUAAGGACCCCCUCUGUACACCAACGCCAGUCCAAAGGACAGUGUGUCACUGUGAACUGGAAAUUCAUCUCUCUUCUUCAAUUUUUUUCUACCUACUUUAUGCUUUAUCUCUAAGUUGAGGCUGUUUAUGGCCUCAUCCUCAAUUACCUUGUCCCUCAUUACUCCCAGUUAAUGGAGAUUAAGCUUUGUAUCAUGACUUCCUAACUAAAAUUGAAAUCACAAGACAUCACAUAAAUAAAGUUACAAAUGGAUUAGAUAAA
rnacentral:lncRNA from 1 species